GUUGUUUUUGUUGAAGUUCAUGUACAUACUUAUAUUUAACUCGCCAGUGCGAGUAGUCUUGUAUCUUGAAUUUUGGCGUAUGUAUAUGGAACUUGGUUGUUUUAUUUCUGGUUCUUCUAGCAGCUCUAUACUACUGUUUGUAGUAUUGUAUGAUUUACAGGUACAGCUAUCGCUUUGUAUACAGGAAAAAUUUCUUUGUAUACGGCGGAUUUGUCGGCGUGCCCGGAGAACGUGUAAUUCGGGGCGUGACAAAAAUUUUAAUUUUAAUAUUAAUUUUGAAUUAAAAUUUAAAAUUUAAAAUUUUUAUUUUGGGACUAAAGUGAAAAAUAUGCAAUAUUUAGAGACCAAAAUCGACAUGCAAAAGAAUGCCAAAUAGGUACUAACGUGGCGAUUCCGUUAAUUUUAACAUUUUUUUUAAUGGCCGGGAUGUAAUUACAAUAAAAUCAAAAGGUUGGGAACUUGAUUGUCAAAAAAAAAAAAAAAGAUUGGAGACUAAAAUGAAAAUUGAUAUAAAGGUUAAAAUUU
rnacentral:lncRNA from 1 species